rnacentral:rRNA from 1 species
CACCAGACUCCUACGGGAGGCAGCAGUGAGGAAUAUUGGUCAAUGGGCUUACGCCUGAACCAGCCAAGUCGCGUGAGGGAAGACUGCCCUAUGGGUUGUAAACCUCUUUUGUCAGGGAGCAAUUGGCGCUACGUGUAGCGUUAUCGAGAGUACCUGAAGAAAAAGCAUCGGCUAACUCCGUGCCAGCAGCCGCGGUAAUACGGAGGAUGCGAGCGUUAUCCGGAUUUAUUGGGUUUAAAGGGUGCGUAGGCGGAAUGCCAAGUCAGCGUUAAAAUGGAGAGGCUCAACCGCUUCGAGCCGUUGAAACUGGUUUUCUUGAGUGAGUGAGAAGUAUGCGGAAUGCGUGGUGUAGCGGUGAAAUGCAUAGAUAUCACGCAGAACUCCGAUUGCGAAGGCAGCAUACCGGCGCUCAACUGACGCUCAUGCACGAAAGUGUGGGUAUCGAACAGGAUUAGAUACCCCAGUA